rnacentral:rRNA from 1 species
UACGUAGGGGCAAGCGUUGUCCGGAUUUAUUGGGCGUAAAGAGCGUGUAGGCGGCUUGGAAGGUCAGCUGUGAAACUCGAGGCUCAACCUCGAGACGUCGGUUGAAACCACCUGGCUAGAGUCCGGAAGAGGAGAGUGGAAUUCCCGGUGUAGCGGUGAAAUGCGCAGAUAUCAGGAAGAACACCCGUGGCGAAGGCGGCUCUCUGGGACGGUACUGACGCUGAGACGCGAAAGCGUGGGGAGCGAACAGG